rnacentral:tRNA from 1 species
AUAUAUAUAGUAUAAAAUAUUAUAUUUAAUUUCCAAUUAAAAGAUUUAAAAAUAAAAUAUAUAUA